rnacentral:sRNA from 1 species
UGUUGAGGAGCAUGGCCAUGGACUACUCAUGUUUUCUAGGGAUGAACAAGGUUAAGAUUUUCAUUCCCACCCAUAGCACUAUACCUCUGGAGUCCAAGGGGCAGGCACUCUUGCCACUUGCCCAGUCCCGUUACCUAAGUGUCAUAAGCACUCAUAAGAGGACAGCUUGUUCUGGGAGUUGGCUACUAGCCACUGGCUUCGUCUUUCUGCUGGCAAGAAGUAGCGGCUAUGGAAUGACCAUCCCAGCAGCGAGUUGGCCUCUCCGUGGGGCGCUUUGCUGAGUAAGUGACCCUUAAGGGCUGCUACUCUUGACUAAACUCUGCUAGCUUGUGUAGGAGGAGGCAGUACUAACAGCCUCAAAAGAAUGAGAACAAGCUCCAGGCAGGAAACCGGAAGCCACUGGAGGAGAGCAUGUACGCUGCUCGUAGGAAAGUUGAAUCUGGCUGAAGGUCUGAUGUAGUGAUCAGGAGUGUGGGUCCAGAAUUGCCCAAUAUUUGGAGUUUUCAAGAGAAGCCAGAAAUCUGUUGUGUAUUUUUGUGAAAUCUCCAGACAUUUCAGGAUGAAAAGUGUUUUAAAAGUUUCCAUCUUAAAGACAACUGCUGCCCAGGUCCUGCUUUAGGGCCCACUGUUGUAGAGCCACUAGAAGUCCAAACCUAAAUAAACAUCUUCAGGUCCCUUCUCCCCAGCCCCCAUUUUUCAGAGACUGAGGCCCACAGAACUGAAGUAAAAUGUCUUAAGUCCCCAGCUAGACCAGAACCCUGGUCUCUAAAUUCCUAGUCUGUUUGGCCAACUUAUCUAUUUUUAGACUCUACCUUUCCAGAUUUUUCUUUCUGCAAAGGCUGCAAGUUUUUUUCCACUUGGUUUAGCUGUUUGCUGAGCCUCCCUGCCCCCCUCCCCCUGCACCCCCGUCCCUGAGGUGUCUGCUGCUCCAGGGUGGCCAUGUCCCAUUGUGCAGGUGCACCUCGCCUCCCCUGACCUCACCCAGUCCCGCUUCACUUGGCUCACUCCCGGCAGUCUCAUCUCACUCCAGGCAUCCCUUGCUGGCCUCUUCUCUUACCUGCCAUCCUCCUUAAACUCGCCUCAAUGUCUUCUGACCCCAUGUGAUCAGUGGUAUCUCAAGUGUUAAUCACAAAAGGUUAUAAAUGUUUUAAGGAAACUUCAUAAAAGUGUGUGAAUAUAGAGUGCAGAGGACUCGAGGAGGGAGGCGGGGGAAGGGAGCAGGGUCGUGAUAUAGAAUCUGGCCCUGAAACCCAGGCACUCCCCUUCCCUUGUGAGAGCCACAGGGGAACGUGUUGUCUCUUUGUUCGUAGGCCUCUUGACCCUCCCUACUGCCCAAGACCUUAGCCAGUGCUGGGCUUGCAUAAGGUUACAAAGGAAUUUCUUGGGUAUUUAUUUAUUUUAUAUUUAUUAUUUUUUUGUUGAGAUGGAGUUUCGCUCUUUGGCCCAGGCUGAAGUAAAGUGGCACAAUCUCGGCUCACUGCAACUUCUGCCCCCCGGGUUCAAGCGAUUCUCAUGCCUCAGCCUCCUGAGUAGCUGGGAUUAUAGGUGCCCACCACCACGCCUAGCUAAUUUUUUGUAUUUUUAGUAGAGACGGGGUUUCACCAUGCUGGCCAGGCUGGUCUCGAACUCCUGAUCUCAGGUGAUCCACCCACCUUGGCCAAAUCCUGACUCCCAAGGUGUUAGGAUUACAGGCUUGAGCCACCGCGCCUGGCCUUUCUUGGAUAUUUAUUAACCAUCAGACUUUUAAAAAAUAAUCCCAGGGAAGAUACAUUUCUGCCCUCAGAGACCUUUACUAUACCGUUGCCAAACCCAGUUUCCCACUUGCUCCUACGGAGUUCCCAGCUCCCACACAAAGCCCUAUGUGCACUGGUCAGAAGACCCUGUCGUGUUGUCCCCAGAGGGCGUGGCGCCAGUCACUUGAGUUUACUGUAGACCCCGCAGCCACCAGCCCUGAUGAGGGACUACUGAGUCAGAGGAGUUAGAACAGGAGGGCCUUUGAAUAAUCACUGUAAUCCCUCUCAACUUAGAGCGGACUGAGAAAUUGCCCAUGGGCUCCAUAAAAAAUGUGGUCAGUGAACCUAUCGAAGGACAUGAAGACUACCACAUGAUGGCGUUUCAGUUGGGCCCCACGGAAGCCUCUUACUACUGGGUGUACUGGGUUCCAACUCAAUAUGUGGAUGCAAUCAAAGACACUGUGCUGGGGAAAUGGCAGUAUUUUUGAAAGCACUUUCACCUCUGGCCCAGGAGACUGACCCAAAGUGAAGGACAUUGCUGGGAGAGGCCUGCAGCAUCCCUGGAUUUCAGAGUUCUGGAACUUUGUUCAUAAAAAAUCUAUAUUCAAUCUGAGGUGAUGUGGUGACUGAAGCCAGAGGUGAUGUACUUUCCCCAUUAGCUUAAUUUUAACUUAAAAUUACCAGUUCCCUUUCUUGCAGUCAGCUUCAUACCAUUUUUAAAGUCAAUACGAUGGAAAUCAAUAAAUCUGAAUUCCG